GUAAACGAUUAUAUCGUACUCAGACAAACAAAAACUAUCCACGAGUUAGGGCCCUCUGGCAGAACCCAAGCCCGGAACCACCCGGGCAGGAGCCUUGCCAAAGCAACAGAGGUAAGGUAAACAAAGGGUGAGGGGUGUCACCGCCCGGGGAGCCCAGAGGCUCCACGGGGGCUCGUCCCGGGGACCGGAGUCCCCUUUCAGUAAUGAUCCUUCCGCAGGUUCACCUACGGAAA
rnacentral:misc_RNA from 1 species